rnacentral:tRNA from 1 species
AUUAAGGUGGCAGAUCAGUGCGUAAGAUUUAAGUUCUUAUUAGGGAAUGUUUAAAAUAUUCUUCUUAAUA